UACGUAGGUGGCGAGCGUUGUCCGGAAUUACUGGGUGUAAAGCGCGUGUAGGCGGGAGGCCAAGUCUGCGGUGAAAUCGCUCGGCUCAACUGGGCGGGGUCCGUGGAAACUGGUCACCUGGAGGACGGUAGAGGCGAGUGGAAUUCCCGGUGUAGUGGUGAAAUGCGUAGAGAUCGGGAGGAACACCAGUGGCGAAGGCGGCUCGCUGGGCCGGACCUGACGCUGAGACGCGAAGGCGUGGGGAGCGAACGGA
rnacentral:rRNA from 1 species